GACGAACGCUGGCGGCGUGCUUAACACAUGCAAGUCGAGCGGUAAGGCCCUUUCGGGGGUACACGAGCGGCGAACGGGUGAGUAACACGUGGGUGACCUGCCCUCAGCUCUGGGAUAAGCCUGGGGAAACCGGGUCUAAUACUGGAUAUGACUCCAUGACGCAUGUUGGUGGGGUGGAAAGCCUUGUGCGGCUGAGGAUGGGCCCGCGGCCUAUCAGCUUUGGUUGGUGGGGUGANGGGCCCUACCAAGGCGACGACGGGUAGCCGGCCUGAGAGGGCGACCGGCCACACUGGGACUGAGACACGGCCCAGACUCCUACGGGAGGCAGCAGUGGGGAA
rnacentral:rRNA from 1 species